AAGUCCGUUGUGAAAGCCCUGGGCUCAACCUGGGAACUGCAGUGGAUACUGGAUGACUAGAAUGUGGUAGAGGGUAGCGGAAUUCCUGGUGUAGCAGUGAAAUGCGUAGAGAUCAGGAGGAACAUCCAUGGCGAAGGCAGCUACCUGGACCAACAUUGACACUGAGGCACGAAAGCGUGGGGAGCAAACAGGAUUAGAUACCCUGGUAGUCCACGCCCUAAACGAUGCGAACUGGAUGUUGGGUGCAAUUUGNCACGCAGUAUCNAAGCUAACGCGUUAAGUUCGCCGCCUGGGGAGUACGGUCGCAAGACUGAAACUCAAAGGAAUUGACGGGGGCCCGCACAAGCGGUGGAG
rnacentral:rRNA from 1 species